ACUUUCAACAGAAAGUCGGGAUUGGCGUCCUGAAUAACGUGAGCGGUGAAAAAUAAUAGUCGCUCAAAGCGGCUUUUUU
rnacentral:sRNA from 1 species